GUACUGGUGAAGAGUCCCAGAUCAGAACGAAACAGGUGUCCAGUAC
rnacentral:hammerhead_ribozyme from 1 species